rnacentral:lncRNA from 1 species
AUGGGAGAUGAGUGCAGUGUGUUCCUACGCUGGUUUCUUCGUGCACAAAGGUGGCAGGCUGGAGUGGUUAAGACAAGCAGCGGAGAGAUGGACCUCUGUGUGCAGGACCCCUACCACACCUGGACUGAGGUGAACAGGAGAACAGAGUCCAGCAAACUAAAAUUGGGUCCAACCGGUCACAUCAUCAGAAUAUGUGUUUCCCACUUGAAGUCCUCUCUGGAACUGUUGCAACCCGCCACGUGCCAUAGAAACACAUCGGCUCAUAAGACUGUCUACAGAUUCUUGCCAAAAACUGUCUGCUGCUCACUCGAAGAUUGUUUCUCCCCUUUCUGUCCCCCAAAAAGAAAAACCAAUGGUCUUCCUAAAAAGCUUACUUUCCUUUACAGAAGUUUCUCUUGUUUCUCCCAAUAAAAGUUUUUCAAAUUUUUAUCACUCUUUUCCACUCUUCUGUCCGAUCACUUGUCUACUUGUCCUUCGCAGGGAACUUAACCUCCUUAUGGGAGUGACACGUUUACUCAUUCGUCUAACUCGGUUUGGUCUCUGCUUUUCUUCCCCACUGAGUCCCUUUUACACAGGCUUUAUGGAAA